GAUGAAGAACGUAGCGAAAUGCGAAAAGUAGUGUGAAUUGCAGAAUUCAGUGAAUCAUCGAAUCUUUGAACGCACAUUGCGCCCCAUGGUAUUCCGUGGGGCAUGCCUGUUCGAGCGUCAUUUACCCCCUCAAGCUCCGCUUGGUGUUGGGCGUCUGUCCCGCUUCGCGCGCGGACUCGCCCCAAAGGUAUUGGCAGCGGUCGUGCCAGCUUCUCGCGCAGCACAUUGCGCUUCUCGAGGCACCGGUGGGCCCGCGUCCAUCAAGCUCACCCCCCCAGUUUGACCUCGGAUCAGGUAGGGAUACCCGCUGAACUUAAGCAUAUCAAUAAGCGGAGGA
rnacentral:misc_RNA from 1 species